rnacentral:piRNA from 1 species
UAAAGACAAGCUUACCAAAAUAAAAGUUGUA